GACGAACGCUGGCGGUGUGCUUAACACAUGCAAGUCGAACGGUAAGGCCCUUUCGGGGGUACACGAGUGGCGAACGGGUGAGUAACACGUGAGUAACCUGCCCUCAUCUCUGGGAUAACAGUCGGAAACGGUUGCUAAUACUGGAUAUGAGCUUGCAAGGCAUCUUGUGGGUUGGAAAGAUUUUUUUUGGUUGGGGAUGGACUCGCGGCCUAUCAGCUUGUUGGUGAGGUAGUGGCUCACCAAGGCUUCGACGGGUAGCCGGCCUGAGAGGGCGACCGGCCGCAUUGGGGCUGAGAUACGGCCCAAACUCCUACGGGAGGCAGCAGUGGGGAAUAUUGCACAAUGGACGGAAGUCUGAUGCAGCAACGCCGCGUGCGGGAUGACGGCCUUCGGGUUGUAAACCGCUUUCAAUUGUGACGAAGCUUUUUUGUGACGGUAGCAGUAGAAGAAGCACCGGCUAACUACGUG
rnacentral:rRNA from 1 species